rnacentral:lncRNA from 1 species
GGGGCCAAGCCAGCUCUCCUCCUUCUGCGUGUUUGUUGGGAAGUUACAUUCCCAAGGAAGCAGUCAAGGCUCCAGAUAUUACACUGCACUCUCUCACUUCCUUGCUCCAAUUCUUCACCUUCCUUUUGCGGCCCAUACCCAUUCAUCCUUCUCAGCUUCUGCUCUUGCUGUUCUGUAUUAGCCACUCCUUAGCCUGGAUCCAUGAAAGAUGCCACCAGAUGGAUUAUUUCUUUCAGUAAAGAAGUUAUGACGGUGUUGAAUGGAUCGAAGAAAAGGUAGUUUUCUCACACGAGCUGUCGCAGAGCAACUCCUCCUUCUUCCUGCACAUCUGCCUGAAGCGGCAUCCUCAAGGAAUUGCCCCAUGCUCAGUCAAGGACAGACUUUGCCAUCGUUUGGGUUCAGAAUGUACUUCAGAGGCCCAUGUACUGAGGACACGGUCCUCAGCUUGACCUUACCAGGAUGUAACCCAACCUUCAUGAGGUGGACCCUGCUGGAAGAUUUUAAGUGACUGUAGGAUUCUGGGCUCUUCCUUUUUCUGUCUUUGCUUCCCAGCCCCGACACAGUGAGCCGCUCACUGCACCGUGCACACCACCUGUGAUGUGCUGCCUCUGACUGUGACAGUAAGGAGAAAUGACUAGCUCGGACUCGCUUGGCUUUCACUGUGGAUUUCUGUCACAUGUGAUGUUCACAGUGACCAAUCCUCAGGCAGUGCGUACUAUGUUUACACAUGUUCAUGGUACAAAAUUGAGAACAGAAAUAAUUUACGUUUACUUCUCAGAAAGGACACUAGAUUUCAUAAUAAAAACCCCUAAAUAAUAUGGAUGCACUUGGUGGUGUCUAUAGACAAAGGCAAACUUAUCUGGUAACCUAAUCCUGAUAAGUUAUCC